GUUUUCUAUUUCUUUCCUUUCACUUUAAUUGUUAAAUUAUCUCAAUUCAUAAUCUACCCGAUCGGUCCUUUUCCUGUCUGGUGGGCUGAUAAUUUAUGUGAAUUUCAAUUAAUGUAUUGUAAAUUUGUAAUCCGAUCGUAUUUAUGCUGAAUUUGACAAAAUCUGUAAGGAUUGUUGGCGUGUUUUUAUGAGCAACUGAAGUAUUUUAUAUUUUAUUUUUUAAGUUGAUCAAGGGUGGGAUAUCAUUCUGAAUUUUAAGGUUUUGUGGUUGAUUUCUUUCCCCCUUAUGUGGUCAGUCUUUGGAUAUUUGCAAUUUUUGCUCAUGGUUUGGGUUUCCAUUUUUGGUUUUUAUUGGACCAAAUUUUGAUAUCUGUUAGCAUUUGUUACAUUUUAAGCUCUAUUUCUUAGGAUCAUUGAGGACAUAAGAGGAAAUUAAAUAAAAAUCAUGAAAUUAUGUUUUGGAUAAUGCGUUAUAGAAAUUGAGCUCCAUUUAUUUUCUAUCAGGUUGAAUCUUGGCUUCAUGGGUUUCUUUUUUAACUUGAUGGUUAUUCAAUUGCUUUCUUUUUUGAUCACUUAUAAUUGAGAGCUUAAAUGUGGGUAUUAAUUCUUUUACUGUUUAACAGUUGUUAUGCAUUGAUUUGUAGUGAGAUUAUCUGUUGAUCAGCUGAGUUAUCAUUUAGGCAAAAUGGCAUCUUCUACAGACCCAUGGAUGAAGGAA
rnacentral:misc_RNA from 1 species